rnacentral:misc_RNA from 1 species
CACGAACCGUCCAAGCGUUGUCCGGAAUUAUUGGGCGUAAAGAGCUCGUAGGCGGUUUGUCGCGUCUGCUGUGAAAACGCGAGGCUUAACCUCGCGCCUGCAGUGGGUACGGGCAGACUAGAGUGCGGUAGGGGAGACUGGAAUUCCUGGUGUAGCGGUGGAAUGCGCAGAUAUCAGGAGGAACACCGAUGGCGAAGGCAGGUCUCUGGGCCGUUACUGACGCUGAGGAGCGAAAGCAUGGGGAGCGAACAGG